GGUUUAGCUCAGCGGCAUAAGCACCUGCCUUGCAAGCAGGCAGUCAUGAGUUCGAUCCUCGGUACCA
rnacentral:tRNA from 1 species